GAUGAACGCUGGCGGCGUGCUUAACACAUGCAAGUCGAACGAUGAAGCCCAGCUUGCUGGGUGGAUUAGUGGCGAACGGGUGAGUAACACGUGAGUAACCUGCCCUUAACUCUGGGAUAAGCCUGGGAAACUGGGUCUAAUACCGGACAGGAGCGUCCACCGCAUGGUGGGUGUUGGCAAGAUUUAUCGGAUUUGGAUGGACUCGCGGCCUAUCAGCUUGUUGGUGAGGUCAUGGCUCACCAAGGCGACGACGGGUAGCCGGCCUGAGAGGGUGACCGGCCACACAGGCACUGAGACACGGCCCAGACGCCUACGGGGGGCAGCAGUGGGGAAGAGUGCACAAUGGGCGCAAGCCUGAUGCAGCGACGCCGCGUGAGGUAUGACGGCCUUCGGGUUGUAAACCUCUUUCAGUAGGGAAGAAGCGAGAGUGACGGUACCUGCAGAAGAAGCACCGGCUAACUACGUG
rnacentral:rRNA from 1 species